GUGAAUCAUCAAAUUUUUGAACGCAAAUUGCACUCUCUUCGGUGAGUAUGCCUGUUUGUGGGUCAGUAUUAAUAAAAAUCGGAAUGUUUCUUCUUUGUGGGGCUCCGGAGGUUGGGUCAUCUUAAUAUCCUUUAGGUUUUUAGUGGCUUGUAAUUGAGUUUUUUUGCGCAUUUUAGUUGUACAUAAAUUUUUUUUAUUCGUCUAUUCUUAAUGCCAAAAUCUUA
rnacentral:misc_RNA from 1 species